AUGUCUGACAUAGAAGAGGUGGUGGAAGAGUACGAGGAGGAGUGAGUAUCUGGAGCAUCUUGCCUGAAGAGGAGGACUGGAGAGAGGACGAAGACAGCAGGAGGAGGCAGCGGAAGAGGAUGCUGAAGCAGAGGCUGAGACCGAGGAGACCAGGGCAGAAAAGAUGAAGAAGAAGAGGAAGCAAAGGAGGCUGAAAUGGCCCAAUGGAGGAGUCCAAACCAAAGCCCAGUCGUUCAUGCCCAACUUGGUGCCUCCCAAGAUCCCCGAUGGAGAGAGAGUGGACUUUGAGACAUCCACCGGAAGCGCAUGGAGAAGGAC
rnacentral:lncRNA from 1 species